UCGGAUGGGGAGCUGUCUGGUUCGGAGGAGGAGGUCGUGCCCAGGACGGUGCCUACAGCGAGGGAUUCCAGACGAUCGGCUGAUGGGAUUGCUUCCACGCAGCCCGGUACUGGACCUUUGUUGGUCUGGAUUUUGGGCCACUCUUACGUGGUUCGGGGGGAAAAACGGGCGGAGGCGCGCCCGUCCGGUCGGCAACUGGGGAUUUCGAGACAGGAGGCGAGGGUACGGUGGUUGGGGGUCCCCGGGAUGUUAUGGAGCAGAGUUGUGCCGGAGGUACACAAAUGGGCACGUUUGGACAGACCUCCGGAGGUGCUAGUGAUUCAUGCAGGGGGCAAUGAUCUUGGGGUGAGAUCUAUGCUGGAGAUAGCGCGGGAUAUUAAAUUUGAUUUUCAGCGGCUCCGGUUGUCUUUCCCGGAGACGGUAGUGGUGUGGUCGGACAUGGUGGCUAGGACAUCGUGGAGGAUGGCGAGGUCGGUAGACGCGGU